AUUGAACGCUGGCGGCAUGCCUUACACAUGCAAGUCGAACGGCAGCACGGGUGCUUGCACCUGGUGGCGAGUGGCGAACGGGUGAGUAAUACAUCGGAACGUACCUUAUCGUGGGGGAUAACGCAGCGAAAGCUGUGCUAAUACCGCAUACGCCCUGAGGGGGAAAGCGGGGGAUCGCAAGACCUCGCGCGAUUAGAGCGGCCGAUGCCUGAUUAGCUAGUUGGUGGGGUAAAAGCCCACCAAGGCGACGAGCAGUAGCUGGUCUGAGAGGCCGGUCAGCCGCACUGGGACUGAGACACGGCCCAGACUCCUACGGGAGGCAGCAGUGGGGAAUUUUGGACAAUGGGGGCAACCCUGAGCCAGCAAUGCCGCGUGAGUGAAGAAGGCCUUCGGGUUGUAAAGCUCUUUUGUCAGGGAAGAAACACCGGCUCUAACACAGUCCGGGAAUGACGGUACCUGAAGAAUAAGCACCGGCUAACUACGUGCCAGCCGCCGCAGUAA
rnacentral:rRNA from 1 species